GCUGUAGCUCAGUCAGUAGAGCAUAAGACUCUUAAUCUCAGGUUCAUGGGUUUGAGUCCCAUGUUGGGCA
rnacentral:tRNA from 1 species